rnacentral:antisense_RNA from 1 species
AUGCACGACAUUGCUCACAUUGCUUCCAGUGUUUUUUUCAGCCCACCUUGUGUGGGCUUUUUUUU